rnacentral:rRNA from 1 species
CAAGUCGAGCGGUAACAUUUCAAAAGCUUGCUUUUGAAGAUGACGAGCGGCGGACGGGUGAGUAAUGCCUGGGAAUUUGCCCAUUUGUGGGGGAUAACAGUUGGAAACGACUGCUAAUACCGCAUACGCCCUACGGGGGAAAGCAGGGGACCUUCGGGCCUUGCGCUGAUGGAUAAGCCCAGGUGGGAUUAGCUAGUAGGUGAGGUAAAGGCUCACCUAGGCGACGAUCCCUAGCUGGUCUGAGAGGAUGAUCAGCCACACUGGGACUGAGACACGGCCCAGACUCCUACGGGAGGCAGCAGUGGGGAAUAUUGCACAAUGGGGGAAACCCUGAUGCAGCCAUGCCGCGUGUGUGAAGAAGGCCUUCGGGUUGUAAAGCACUUUCAGCGAGGAGGAAAGGGUGUAAGUUAAUACCUUACAUCUGUGACGUUACUCGCAGAAGAAGCACCGGCUAACUCCGUGCCAGCAG